rnacentral:rRNA from 1 species
AUUGAACGCUGGCGGCAUGCCUUACACAUGCAAGUCGAACGGCAGCGCGGGAGCAAUCCUGGCGGCGAGUGGCGAACGGGUGAGUAGUGCAUCGGAACGUGCCCAGUUGUGGGGGAUAGCCCGGCGAAAGCCGGAUUAAUACCGUAUGAGACCUGAGGGUGAAAGCGGGGGAUCGAAAGACCUCGCGCGACUGGAGCGGCCGAUGUCAGACUAGGUAGUUGGUGGGGUAAGGGCCUACCAAGCCUGCGAUCUGUAGCUGGUCUGAGAGGACGACCAGCCACACUGGGACUGAGACACGGCCCAGACUCCUACGGGAGGCAGCAGUGGGGAAUUUUGGACAAUGGGCGCAAGCCUGAUCCAGCCAUGCCGCGUGCGGGAAGAAGGCCUUCGGGUUGUAAACCGCUUUUGUCGGGGAAGAAACGGCCUGGGCUAAUACCUUGGGCUAAUGACGGUACCCGAAGAAUAAGCACCGGCUAACUACGUGCCAGCAGCCGCAGUAA